UUUUUUUUUUUUUUUUUUGACAGAGCCUUGCUCUGUUGCCCAGGCUGGACUGCAGUGGUGCAAUCUUGACUCACUGCAACCUGCACUUCCCGGGUUCAAGCAAUUCUCAUGCCUCAGCUUCCCAAGAAGCUGAGAUUACAGGCAUGUGCGACCAUACCCAGCUAAUUUUUGUAUUUUUAGUAGAGACUGGUUUUCGCCAUGUUGGCCAGGUUGGUCUCACACUCGUUGCCUCAAUCUAUCCACCUGCCUUGGCCUCCCAAAGUGCUGGGAUUACAGACGUGAGCCACCAAACCUGGCCUGAAUCUACUUUUUCAAUCAUUACCUCCAGGUGAUUCUGAGAUGAGUGGUACAAGAAUGAUGCAAAGAAACACUGCCCUGGAAACAGUGGAGAAUAGCUGUUUUCAUCUGAUUUAUAGAUUGAGUUCAUAUGUGAGAUAUUAGCUGCACAAAAGAUUCUGCACUUUAAAGAUGGUUGAAAAUUGACCUUAGCUUAAAACUGAGAGUUCACUGCCUACCCUCCCAGGCCCAUCUCCUGUCGUGCUUAGCCUAGAACACAAAAUUCCACAUGGAGGCUCUUGUUUUUACUGAGAUACUUGGGAAAAUGGCUGGAAAUUUAAGGAUUUAAGGAUAUUUCACAUCAGGAUUUUUGCUGUGGCCUCCUCUUAGCAUUUAUCAAUAUCUGCAGGGCUUUCUUUUAUGAUGAAAAACACUCACUACCAUUUUUCUAAUAUUCAAUUUCUCAUUUUAAAAUUGACAUUCUUCUAAAUAUACUCAUACCGUUUAUAUCAAAACUACAUCAAAGCAUAUGACUAUAAUAAAUAUCUCAAAGCAUCUAAAAACUAUUUGAAAACUUAAACUCUUCAAAAGUCAAACAUGUCAGAUUCUCUUAAACACUUAAAAUUUCUUAAAAACAAAAUUAUCAUAAAGUAUUACAGUAAUGAAUCAGUUUAGUUGCACUGACACUGAUUCUUAAGUGCCAUUGGCAUAGAUUUCAAAGGCUUCUUCAUAAUCUCCAUUCCAUUCUUAUUCUUAUUUCUUUCUACGGGUACAUUAUUUGGAAAUAAGGUCAUUGCAAUAGUAACUAGUUAAGAUGAGAUCAUACUGGAAUAGGUUGGGCCCCUUAUCCAAUAUGACCGGUGUUCUUACAGAAGAGGGGAGUUUGGGUACAGACACACAAGGAGAAAGCCAAGUGAAGAUCAAGGCAGAGAUCCUGUUGAUGAUUUCACAAACCUAGGAAUGUCACAAGAUAGUUAGCA
rnacentral:lncRNA from 1 species